UACAGAGGGUGCGAGCGUUGUCCGGAAUCACUGGGCGUAAAGGGCGCGUAGGUGGCGCCCCAAGUCGAUGGUGAAAGCUCGCCGCUCAACGGCGAGUCGGCCACCGAUACUGGGGCGCUUGAGCACUGUAGAGGCUAAUAGAAUUCCGUGUGUAGCGGUGAAAUGCGUAGAUAUACGGAGGAACACCAGAGGCGAAGGCGGCCUACUGGGCCAGUACUGACGCUGAGACGCGAAAGCCAGGGGAGCGAACGGG
rnacentral:rRNA from 1 species